GGGCUCUUCAAAGCUGCAAAAAGACCCAAAGUCAUGAAAAGACACGAAGUUGAAGUCCUGAAGCCGUGAAAGGACCCAAAGUAAGGAAAGGAGUCUAAGGAACAUGGGGAUCUGGUCUUUUUUCCAUGCCUAGCAGGUGCCUCGAAUGAAGAUUCUGGAGCCCAAAAGCAGUUUUGUAUCCCUUAUCUUCAAUCCCAGUACCUGAAAUGACAGAGCAUGUGGGGGGCUCUUCAAAGCUGCAAAAAGACCCAAAUUCAUGAAAAGACACGAAGUUGAAGUCCUGAAGCCGUGAAAGGACCCAAAGUAAGGAAAGGAGUCUAAGGAACAUGGGGAUCUGGUCUUUUUUCCAUGCCUAGCAGGUGCCUCGAAUGAAGAUUCUGGAGCCCAAAAGCAGUUUUGUAUCCCUUAUCUUCAAUCCCAGUACCUGAAAUGACAGAGCAUGUGGGGGGCUCUUCAAAGCUGCAAAAAGACCCAAAUUCAUGAAAAGACACGAAGUUGAAGUCCUGAAGCCGUGAAAGGACCCAAAGUAAGGAAAGGAGUCUAAGGAACAUGGGGAUCUGGUCUUUUUUCCAUGCCUAGCAGGUGCCUCGAAUGAAGAUUCUGGAGCCCAAAAGCAGUUUUGUAUCCCUUAUCUUCAAUCCCAGUACCUGAAAUGACAGAGCAUGUGGGGGGCUCUUCAAAGCUGCAAAAAGACCCAAAUUCAUGAAAAGACACGAAGUUGAAGUCCUGAAGCCGUGAAAGGACCCAAAGUAAGGAAAGGAGUCUAAGGAACAUGGGGAUCUGGUCUUUUUUCCAUGCCUAGCAGGUGCCUCGAAUGAAGAUUCUGGAGCCCAAAAGCAGUUUUGUAUCCCUUAUCUUCAAUCCCAGAGUGCUGUAUCUCAGAGUUUAGAUGUAGAAUCCACCACAUGCAACUGGAUCACAGGAUCUCUCAACUUACAGCAGAGCAGAAGGUGCAAAGGUUAUACGGAGCAGUACAUUUGAAGAACUUUCUCCUGUG